rnacentral:lncRNA from 1 species
UGUCUUAAGUUCUAAAUUUUCUUUGAUGAUAAAGUCCUUAUCCUUAACUAAUUUAUCAUAUUUAUGUAGGUAUGAUUGAUUAGCUAUCUUUAGCUCUUUAUUCUUAAGAUUUAUGGCCUUAUAUUCAAUCAUUAGUUCGUUAAAUGCGUCAUACAAUUCAUCAAAUGUAAAAUCUAGAUGCGAUUCGGACGUUACCUCAUUUUCAUUGGCCAUGAAGCAGAAGUUGGCCUUUUCUUCUUGUUCAUCAUCCGAUGAUGAUGA